ACUAACAGUCACUGACAACAAACAAAAUUAAAUCAGGUGGGGUUUUAGGAGGGGUUCUGAAAGACACUAAUGGGGGUGUCCACUGAAAGUUGACUAGUAACAACAACUGGGACCUAAGAGACUCCCAUCAUGAGACCCACUGAGAGGCAAACAAAAGAGAAACCCAAACCAAACUUAGACAGGAAGCAAACCAAACUUAGACAGGAAGCAAACCAAAAAAUGGAGCAAAAUGAAAACAGGGAAGAUCAGAUAAAGGAAUGUUUGUCUACAAAUGAAAAUAGGGAGAGACAACUAAAAGAGAUAACUCUCCACAUCUCGUUAGUCAGUAACACAUACUGACUAACGAGGUGACCAACCAGCACAGGAGUAACACAUACUGACUAACGAGGUGACCAACCAGCACAGGAGUAACACAUACUGAAUAACGAGGUGAUCAACCAGCACAGGAGUAACACAUACUGACUAACGAGGUGACCAACCAGCACAGGAGUAACACAUACUGACUAACGAGGUGACCAACCAGCACAGGAGUAACACAUACUGACUAACGAGGUGACCAACCAGCACAGGAGUAACACAUACUGAAUAACGAGGUGACCAACCAGCACAGGAGUAACACAUACUGACUAAC